rnacentral:rRNA from 1 species
AUUGAACGCUGGCGGCAGGCCCAACACAUGCAAGUCGAGCGGUUGACGGGAGCUUGCUCCUUGAUUCAGCGGCGGACGGGGGAGUAAUACCUAGGAAUCUGCCUGAUAGUGGAGGACAACGUUUCGAAAGGAACGCUAAUACCGCAUACGUCCUACGGUAGAAAGCAGGGGACCUUCGGGCCUUGCGCUAUCAGAUGAGCCUAGGUCGGAUUAGCUAGUUGGGGAGGUAAUGGCUCACCAAGGCGACGAUCCGUAACUGGUCUGAGAGGAUGAUAAGUCAAACUGGAACUGAGACACGGUCCAGACUCCUCCGGGAGGCAGCAGUGGGGAAUAUUGGACAAUGGGCGAAAGCCUGAUCCAGCCAUGCCGCGUGUGUGAAGAAGGUCUUCGGAUUGUAAAGCACUUUAAGUUGGGAGGAAGGGCAGUAAGCUAAUACCUUGCUGUUUUGACGUUACCGACAGAAUAAGCACCGGCUAACUCUGUGCCAGCAGCCGCAGUAAGAC